rnacentral:misc_RNA from 1 species
AAGUCGUAACAAGGUUUCCGUAGGUGAACCUGCGGAAGGAUCAUUAAUGAAUAAACUUGGUUGAGUUGCUGCUGGUCCUUCGGGACAUGUGCACGCUCACCACUUUUAUAACCACCUGUGCACCUUUUGUAGACUGGAAACAUUUCUCGAGGAAACUCGGAUUGAGGACUGCUGUGCGUAAGCCGGCUGUUCUUGUGUUUCUCAGUCUAUGUUUUUCAUAUACUCCAAAUGUAUGUAUCUGAAUGUAUUGCUAGGCCUUUGUGCCUUUAAAACAAAUACAACUUUCAACAACGGAUCUCUUGGCUCUC